GAUGAACGCUGGCGGCGUGCCUAAUACAUGCAAGUCGAGCGAAUGGAUUAAGAGCUUGCUCUUAUGAAGUUAGCGGCGGACGGGUGAGUAACACGUGGGUAACCUGCCCCUAAGACUGGGAUAACUCCGGGAAACAGAGGCUAAUACCGGAUAACAUUUUGAACCACAUAGUUCGAAAUUGAAAGGCGGCUUCGGCUGUCACUUAUGUAUGGGUACGCGACGCAUUAGCUAGUUUGUGAGGUAACGGCUCACCAAGGCAACGAUGCGUAGCCGAACUGAGAGGGUGAUCGGCCACACUGGGACUGAGACACGGCCCAGACUCCUACGGGAGGCAGAAGUAGGGAAUCUUCCGCAAUGGACGAAAGUCUGACGGAGCAACGCCGCGUGAGUGAUGAAGGCUUUCGGGUCGUAAAACUCAGUUGUUAGGGAAGAACAAGUGCUAGUUGAAUAAGCUGGCACCUUGACGGUACCUAACCAGAAAGCCACGGCUAACUACGUGCCAGCAGCCGCAGUAA
rnacentral:rRNA from 1 species